GCCCUUGAAAAAAUCAAAGGUGUAACCUGCCCAAUGAUUUAAAAAUAAGACUAAUAAAAAGUUUAAAUUAAAUUUAAAGGACGCGGUAUAUUGACCGUGAUAAUGUAGCAUAAUCACUCGCCAUUUAAUUGAUGGAUAGUAUGAAAGGUUAAACGAAUAUAACACUGUCUUAAAUAUAAAUCUUAUAAAAUUAAAAUAAUAGUAAAGAUGCUAUUUAAAACUGUAAGACGAGAAGACCCUAUAGAGCUUAACUAUAACUCUUUCUAAAAACUAAAUUAUUAAAAGAGAGAUAGGUAGUUUAGUUGGGGCGACUACUUUCUAAAAAAAACGAAAGCAAACAAAUAUUAAUUAAAUGAUUUACUGUAUAAACAAUAAUUUUAACAGUUAUAAAAAUAGGUAAUAUUGACCCGUUAUAAAUUAAUAAUAGUUAUAACGAUUAAUAAAUAAAAGCUACCUUAGGGAUAACAGGAUAAUCUUGUUUUAGAGACCCAAUCGAAUACAAGGUUUGUCACCUCUAUGUUGAAUUAAGACAUCCUAAAAGUGCAGAAGCUUUUAAGGGUAGGUCUGUUCGACCUAUAAAGUCUU
rnacentral:rRNA from 1 species